GCAUCAGCGCCGGGCCUGCAGUUCCCACUGCUGGAACCCUUCACGACCCCCGCCCCUGCCCCCACCGGACCGUUCCUGUCCUACUUGAACCCUGCGCCCUUUGGCCUAAGCCCCCCGCGCCUGCGCCCCUUCCUGGCCGCUGCACCCGGGCUGCCGGCUUCCAGCGCCGCCGUCUGGAAAAAGAGCCAAGGUGAGUGUGGGGUCGGGGGCCUCCAGGAGGGCGGGCUGGGCUCGCCCUGACUCUGAACUUGACCCGCCCCUUUACCGCAGGUGCUGGCAGCAGCCCCCGAAGACCCCAGGGCGGCUCCGACGCGCCCUCAGGGCACGCGGCCCCAAGCCGCAUCGUGUGGGAGCACACACGCGGCCGC
rnacentral:sRNA from 1 species